GGGCGGGUUUUCCUCGCCUGGCUGCAGGGUACAUACAGCGCAGUGAAAGUUCACCUGAAUUCAAAGAGGGACUACAGGAACACGAGGAAAAGACUUCAUCACCAGUUACUGAAGACAACUCAUCUGGUUGAAAACUGCCCGCAGGCCACCGAGGGUCAUACAAUUCUGCGAACAUUGGCAUGCCUUGCUGUUGUCAUGGCAAUGAAAGGACUCUAUAUGUUUUUGGAUGCGACUCAAAACAUCUUAUAUAGAAAUGGGACAACAAUUAGAAUAAUGGACAUUGGAUGGUCUUGUGACACCAAUUAAUGAAUGCUCAACAGGAAAUAAAGAGCCCAAAAGAUACUGAACAUAAGCUCCUUGAUUGGAUACAAGACACAAAAUUGCUACUUGAGACCCCAUCUUGCAAUUAGGGUAAAGCUUUGUCACUCUUGAGCAGUAUUAAAAUCACAGUGAUCUGCCUGUGCUCUUGCUUAGCUAGACCAGGAUCCAGAUUUGCCCAAAUAAAGACUGCUCUUAAAGUUCACAAAUACAGAAGUCUUGUACUGUAUACCCAUCCCAGUAAAGGUCUUGAAACAAU